rnacentral:lncRNA from 1 species
AUUUUCAGGUGUUGGAAGCCCCGGAGCCUCACAGGGGACCACGCCCACUGCCAGGAGCUGCAGCGAUUCCCCUUUUGUGGUCAGGGAGGCCGUGGAGCCCUGGGUGACCCUGUGACUUCCCAGGCUGCAGGUGGGAUUGAGCCAGGCACUGCGCACGCAGCACUGUGAGCCGCUGGCCCAGGCCAGGCUCCAGAGAUGGGAGCUCCGCGGGUUCACAGUCGUCUGUGACAGCAGAGCUGAGGGGAGGACGCAGACCCUGGCCUGACCUUGGGCUACCUCUCAGGGUUAGGCCACUGCCUCUGCUGCAGACCCAGGCGGCGCCCAAAGCCUGGGCGUCCCUCCGCUGCAGUGAAAGGGAAAAGAAAACCGGGCUGCGGUAAUGCCUGGAGCCAAAAUCUCAGGGAGAAGCCCAGCUCCCGACACCUACCCUCUUAAAGUGCAGUUGGAUUGAAUGAGGCUAAAGGAAGUAACAGGAACCCCGGCCUGGAGGAAGGAGCACGUGCUAUGGGCCUCAGAGGGUGGCAGAGGAGGUCUGCAGGGGCGAGAAUCUCGGACAGAGCCGAGGCACAGGUGAGCGGUGCCCGGCACAGCAGCCUGGUAGAUGGGAUCGGGGCGGACAGCGGGGGAGAGCGGAGAGGGGUCCGCCUGGGUUCACACCCCAACACCCACCAGGAGCCCCUGGGAACCAGUCAGGCCCCCAGCCCAAUCCCAGUUUCCCCAGGCCACUGCUGGAACAAAAAGCCUCACUGCAGACAAUGGGCCCUUUCUGUAGAUGCCCGCUCGGGGCUGGGCACAAUCGCCGAUUCAUAAGCCAGGCAAGGCCCCACAAUACCCAGGCUGUGUCCAAGAAGGACACCGACGGGAACUCGGAGAGGCCAGUGUCUUUGGUGGGGAAAGGCUGCUCCCUGGUGGUCCACAGGGGCAGUGCGCAUGACCAGGGCUCCCAGACUUCAGGCAAGGAUGAUGGCGGAGAGACACGGCUUAGAAGUCAUCCCACCAUAUGGACGGGGAAACUGAGGCCCAGAGACAUGCAGAGACUUGGCUCGGACUGUUUUCUUCAAUGUGAGAUAGGAUUUGAAGGGGGAAAGUGAAGGAGUUAUUUCACCUGAUGUGUUAAGUGCGGAGUGAGAGCGCAGGGGUGCAUCCUUCCGAACCUCGCAUUCAGUGACGUCACCUUGGUGAUUUGAAGUAGGCCCUGGUGGAAGUAUUUACACCAUGGACAUCAGCAAAUGCAACCAAGACCUCCCGCUACCCUGGAGAGCUGGGUUUAAGACAUUUGCCAGCACACCACUGCCCAGGGACCAGUCUCAGCUCCAGAGCUGUGGGUUAUUGGUAAAGGAUGUGAUUUCAUUGAGCCUCAGUUUCUGUAUCUGUAAAGCAGGAAUCUAUCACUUAUGAAAUAUCCUGUGCAGGCACAAUCUUAGGUGUGGAGGAUACAAUACAACGUAAGUAAGAUAAAAGUAUCCACCUGUGUGGAGCUUGUAUUUUGGUGGGGAGACAAACAAGGGAACUAUAAUGAUAUGUCAUGUCAUAAUACAUGCAAUGAUGACAAAGCCAGGUGAAAAGGCGAUGAUGGUCAUUAAGUUCAAGAUGGGGAGGGGUUGGGGUGAGGGCUGGCCUGUCUGAGGAGGGGCAUUUGCAGUGCUGGAGCAAGCCAUGGAGGACAGGAAUUGCUCCAGUCAGAGGAACAGCAAGGACAAGGGGCCCAAGACGGCAUGUACUAGAGGCUCCACGCAUAGAAAAAGCCAGCCAUCCCCAGCGCUGUAACUGAGUGGCCAGUGGUGGGAGUCUUUGUAAUAGUUAAUUUUAUGCAUCAACUUGACUGGAUCACAGUGUGCCCAGAUAUUUGAUCAAACAUUAUUCUGAGUGUUUCCGUGACAAUGUUUUUGGAUACAAUCAACAUUUAUUUAAUUGGUUGAAGACCUGAAUAGAACAAAGAGUUCAAUUCUCUCAAGUAAGAGAAUUCCUCCUGUCUGACUACUUCAGAAUUGGGACAUUGGCUUUUUCCUGCCUCUACACUACAACUACACCAUCAAGCCUUCAGACAUGGAAAGGAACCACACUAUUGGCUCUCCUCGGUCUUCAGCUUGCCAACUCAAUGCAGAUCUUUGCAUUUGUCAGCCUUAUAACCAUACGCAGAGCAAUGGAGUAUUCUCUGCAGCAGAGGAGCGUCUGCCUAUGUCCACACCUCCGGACAGUACCCGUAAACUUAGGCAUUUGUGCAAAUCCACUCCAACAGUGAACGUUGCCUGCAAUACACAGCAGACCAGACUCAUCCCGGCGGGGUGAUGAAGCACACAUAAACCCCAUUAUCCAGCUAUUUCAGCUACUUGGCUUCUGGAAACUAACAACGACUCCUCUCUUUUUUUCACUGUCGUCUUGAAAAGUCUACACAGGGAUUGCCCCGCCUGCUGAAACUCUAACAGGUGGCACAAGAACGUUCACUCGGAGUCUAUUUAGAGCAUAAGCUGCUAUUUACCUUUGUCCACACUAUUUACUCCAUACCGGCUGAGAAAGAAUUUUGAUGUCAAAGACUGACACCUGAAUUCCAUCAAUUUUCCCAUUUUCUUUCUGGGCCAACCAUGUCCAAUUGGCCUGUGCAAGCAGUCGAGGAGGGGACUGUGAUGGCGGCCCCGCUCUAGCCAGUCUGCUCUCCACGUUUUCAUCCUGAGAGCGCAGCUGGUAGAUCUAUUUCCAGGGCAUCCUGCAGCGGGCGCGUGAGUCACGAAAUCAGUCACACAAAUGACCCACCACAUAUAAAAAAGCCACCAAUACAUCAACAGGCCUUAAAACAGAGCAGCAGUUGCAAUAGCUCCUAGAUCAGCGGCAGUAAGCAGCAGAGGCGGCCCAGCACAGAACCCGGGAGCAGGCCAGGCGGGCGCUGUGCUGCUGAUUUAUGCCUCCACUUCAUUCUCUAUUCAAG